UACGGAGGAUGCAAGCGUUAUCCGGAAUGAUUGGGCGUAAAGCGUCCGCAGGUGGCUAUGUAAGUCUGCUGUUAAAGAGUGAGGCUCAACCUCAUAAGAGCAGUGGAAACUACAUAGCUAGAGUGCGUUCGGGGCAGAGGGAAUUCCUGGUGUAGCGGUGAAAUGCGUAGAUAUCAGGAAGAACACCGGUGGCGAAAGCGCUCUGCUAGGCCGCAACUGACACUGAUGGACGAAAGCUAGGGGAGCGAAUGGG
rnacentral:rRNA from 1 species